rnacentral:rRNA from 1 species
UACGGGGGGGGGCAAGCGUUGUUCGGAAUUACUGGGCGAAAGGGCUCGUAGGUUGCCAACUAAGUCAGACGUGAAAUCCCUCGGCUUAACCGGGGAACUGCGUCUGAUACUGGAUGGCUUGAGUUCGGGAGAGGGAUGCGGAAUUCCAGGUGUAGCGGUGAAAUGCGUAGAUAUCUGGAGGAACACCGGUGGCGAAGGCGGCAUCCUGGACCGACACUGACACUGAGGAGCGAAAGCGUGGGGAGCAAACAGG